UGCUGGAAACGGCAGCUAAGACCGCAUAGGCAUACAUGACGCAUGUCGAGUAUGUUAAAUAUCCUACGGGAUAGCACAGGGAUGGGCUUAUGACGCAUUAGCUAGCUGGUGAGGUAGAGGCUCACCAGGGCGACGAUGCGUAGCCGGCCUGAGAGGGUGGACGGCCACACUGGGACUGAGACACGGCCCAGACUCCUACGGGAGGCAGCAGUAGGGAAUUUUCGGCAAUGGGCGAAAGCCUGACCGAGCAACGCCGCGUGAAGGAAGAAGUCAUUCGUGAUGUAAACUUCUGUUAUAAAGGAAGAACGGCGCCUGUAGGGAAUGACAGGCGAGUGACGGUACUUUAUGAGGAAGCCACGGCUAACUAC
rnacentral:rRNA from 1 species